ensembl:lncRNA
GUCCCUUCCCUUAUCAGCACCCGCGGCCCCGGCAGCGCCGACGCAGGCGCACUGCACCGCGCCGCCGCCAUUUUGUGUCCGAGCCUGUGGAGCGAUUAAACCGUGCGCGGAGCUGCUUCUUUGGCGGCAGCGGCGGCGGCGGAAGCCGGUGCGGGUGCGCGGAGCUGGCUGGGGACGCCGGGUGGCCGGAGCGGUGGAGCGGCGGCGGAGCGAGCGCUGCGGGGGGUGUGGCGCGGAGAAUGAUUACAGACCUGGGUCCAAAGAACAAGAUGCAGUAGCGGACAGAUUGCUGACCAGAGGCUUGAGAGCUGAGUUCUGUUUUCCCUGCUCAAACUGACUUUGCAGCCACGGAGAGGGUACAAAGUGGUAUGAUUCCGGGGUACUUGAAGCCACAAGAUAAACAUGACUCAUCUUCUUGGAGCUUCAGUUGUGCUCACUGAGGGGGCGGUGAGUUAAGUAAUUUAACAGACAAGAGAAGACUCUUGAGAGUCCCUUGGACUGCAAGGAGAUCCAACCAGUCCAUCCUAAAGGAGAUCAGUCCUGGGUGUUCACUGGACUGAUGUUGAAGCUGAAACUCCAAUACUUUGGCCACCUGAUGCGAAGAGCUGACUCAUUUGAAAAGACACUGAUACUGGGAGGAGAAGGGGACGACAGAGGGAUGAGAUGGUUGGAUGGCAUCACCGACUCAAUGGACAUGAGU